CUUGGCCUUGGCCUGGAUGCAGCGCUGGUGCAGGGCAAAGGUGUGCUGGCGUUCGAGCUCCAGGCGCUCGGGAGACACAGCCUCGUAGCGGGCCUCACAGAUAGGAUCACUCCAUAUACAGGAGAGGAAGAGAGAGGAAUGACAAACAAGGGAUUCUAAAUCCUGUCAUCAUCUGGGUAAAGGAGCUCCUGCAUAACAUGGCCCACUAUUCACCAAACUACUACUAAAGAAAAUUUCAAUGGAUACAAUUAGACGUUCCUACCUUUCCAGAACAGCAGAAGAGGAUCACAAGGAACACUGGCAAAGCUACAGUCAGAAUGUAGACCACCCAAAGCCAUGGACGCUCUUCAGCUGCCUCCAGCAUCUGCCCCACUACACCUGGCUGAAACACAAAGCAACAGUAAUUCAGAGAACUGGUCUAUGACACCAAAUACAGGCUAGACUGAUUGUUUCAUGCUCACAUGGUACAACUAACACCUUUAUUUCCAAAGGAGUCAAACUAUGCACACUAAGAAAUUAGGAAAAAAAAAAAAAUCCCUCAUGUUACUGCAUUACCAUCAUGAAGUUUCAUAGUGCAAACCAUGGUUUGUAAUAACUGCAAAAAGGUCCCUUACUCAGGAGGGCCAGCUUUCUGGCCCUCCAAAUUGCAACGCAACAACACCAUUUGUUAUUUGAAAAUUUCAUACAAUGGUAAAACCAAGAUUCAACAUUUUCAGUGCAGUAAAACAUACUUAAGCCAAGUGCAGUGACACAUGACUUAAUCAAAACACUGGAGGCAGAGACAGGUGAGUCCCUGUGAGUUUGAGGCCAUCCUAGUCUACAUACAGAGCAAGUUCCAGGACAGCCAGGGCUACACAGAAAAAUCAUGUCUUAAAAAACAAAAACUUAAAAUGAUAGAUACAAACACAUAUACAUACACAUACAACAAUCACUAACCUCAGCAGCACCAUCCGCAGCUUUCUUUAGGCCCCACCCAUCAUUGGCCCAAUCAUCAACUACUCUUCGGUCACCACUAAUAAUAAAGUUGUCAAAAAAGA